GAUGAACGCUGGCGGCGUGCCUAAUACAUGCAAGUCGAGCGAACAGGCGAGGAGCUUGCUCCUCUGACGUUAGCGGCGGACGGGUGAGUAACACGUGGAUAACCUACCUAUAAGACUGGGAUAACUUCGGGAAACCGGAGCUAAUACCGGAUAAUAUAUUGAACCGCAUGGUUCAAUAGUGAAAGACGGUUUUGCUGUCACUUAUAGAUGGAUCCGCGCCGCAUUAGCUAGUUGGUAAGGUAACGGCUUGCCAAGGCAACGAUGCGUAGCCGACCUGAGAGGGUGAUCGGCCACACUGGAACUGAGCCACGGUCCAGACUCCUACGGGAGGCAGCAGUAGGGAAUCUUCCGCAAUGGGCGAAAGCCUGACGGAGCAACGCCGCGUGAGUGAUGAAGGUCUUCGGAUCGUAAAACUCUGUUAUUAGGGAAGAACAAAUGUGUAAGUAACUAUGCACGUCUUGACGGUACCUAAUCAGAAAGCCACGGCUAACUACGUG
rnacentral:rRNA from 1 species